UACGUAGGGAGCAAGCGUUGUCCGGAAUCAUUGGGCGCAAAGCGCGCGUAGGUGGCUUCGUAAGUCCGUUGUGAAAGUCAAAGGCUCAACCUUUGAAAGCCGAUGGAUACUGUGGAGCUAGAGUACGGAAGAGGCGAGUGGAAUUCCUGGUGUAGCGGUGGAAUGCGCAGAUAUCAGGAGGAACACCAAUAGCGAAGGCAGCUCGCUGGGACGUUACUGACACUGAGGCGCGAAAGCGUGGGGAGCGAACAGG
rnacentral:rRNA from 1 species